GAGCGAUUUGGCUGUAACAUCUAUCACCCCAUUGAUCGCCAGGGUUGAUUCAGCUGAUCUGACUGGCAGGUGUUCCCUUCCUCCUUUGUCCUCCGUCAAGGGUAUACAAGUAGCUGUGCUCCUCUACUAGAACCUCCAAACAAGCUCUCAAGGCCCAUUUUGUUUUAAAAAGUAGAGAAGUUUUGUUGAGCUUUUAGGAAAAAAACUGUUCAAAAUGGACAAUCUUU
rnacentral:snRNA from 1 species